rnacentral:misc_RNA from 1 species
AAGUCGUAACAAGGUUUCCGUAGGUGAACCUGCGGAAGGAUCAUUAUUGAAUAAAUCUGAUGUGGUUGUAGCUGGCUCUCUCGGGAGUAUGUGCUCGCCCGUCACCUUUAUCUUUCCACCUGUGCACUUCUUGUAGAUUUGGAUGUAACUGUCCGAGGCAACUCGGUUGGGAGGAAUGUCAUUCGUGGCUUUCCUUGUAUGUCCAAGUCUAUGUUUUCAUAUACUCCAAAGAAUGUAACAGAAUGUAUCACUAGGCCUUGUGCCUAUAAAACUAUAUACAACUUUCAGCAACGGAUCUCUUGGCUCUC